AUGCAUUUGAUUAUUCAUAAUCAGAUUUUGUUCUAUGGGUGAAAGUUGAAUAAUAUUUUUUGCGGCUCAAAUUGUUCUCGCUUUUACCAUUUUAGGAGCUCCUUCCAGUUGUCUCCUGUGUGCUUCUGGUAAGCCCCUGUCUUUUUUUGCUUUUCAGUGUUUCCUUAAUUUCCUUUACUAUAAAAUAGUCCAGGCUCAUCUUGUGACUUUGCUGCCCCAGCCCUACAGUCAGGCACUUGUCCACGGAGUCUGGUUUCCUUUAUUGGAGAACGCUGUUUAGAAACCAAGGUCUGGUUGCUAGGGGUGUUCAUUGCUACAGGAGUUAUCAUUGCUAAUAGGUCCUCUUAGCAGACAAAGCUAGGAAACAGAUUAUUCAGCACCUAUCUGUAUACAUGUAUGCUAAAAAAUACAAGUUUGUACUGAUACCUCUUAUUCUGAUCUAACCUUACAAAUUUCAUUUUAUUUUAGUCUUUCCCUUUUCAUUAUGACAUCUUUCUCCAACAGUGAAAAACCCUUUCAGCCAUUUUCUUAGCUGGGAUGAAGGUUAUUUUCCACUGGUUUUGCUCCUAUUAUCGUGGCCCUGAUUAACACACAUUUGCACGUGUGGACUGUAGAGUAUUUGACUCAACUCACCUUUCAGAUAGUAACAUCUGGAGGCAGAGACAAGUGUUUCUGAUUUUAAAUACUCUGUGAUUCUGCACGCAGAGCUGCACUAGGAUGUACUGAAUGCUUAAUCAGUGUCUUACCUGCUGAAUACCCCAUUUGGAUCUGUGCCUACUCGGCUACACUGUCCCUCUCUACAGUUCACAACUCUCUUGCCAAUUGUAUUUGUCUUAAACAAUACUCCCAUCCAGUUCCUAGCUUUAGAAUUCUUUGUAAGAUGAGAACUGUAGCCUAAUGUUAGAAGCUAUAAAGCCUGCCGGGUCCAAGAUCAGAAACCGCUACCACUCAUUUACCUACCACCCGCUCUUGGUAGGCAUGUGUCAGUAGAACGGAUUAAUUGGAAGUAAACUGGAAUAGGACGGAGUGCAGAGACCCAUGCUGCCUGGCUUUGCCACCUGUGACCAGAACUUGUCACUUCACUGCUCUGGAGAGUGGAGGUCUAUCAGAGCAGGCGAGCGUAUUAGUAUGACAAACGUAGUGGCUUAAAACAACACCCAUUUAGCAUUUCACAAUUCUGUAGGCCAGAAGGCCGAGCAUUGCAUGACUGGCUCCUUUGCCGGGGGUCCUAGAAGACUAAACUUAGAGUGUCAGCUGGAGUUUCAGGGCCUCUGCCAGGCUCAUAUGGUUGUGGAAAAUUCUGCUCCUUGUGGCUAUAGGACUGAGGUCCCCUGCCCCCUCACCCCUAUUUUCCAUUGCUGACUGCCAGUCAGGGGCCACUCUCAGUUCCUAGAGGCCCCCGUAUUUCCUUUCCAUGUGGUCCCCUCCAUCGCCGGUGACACAGCCUUUCUCCCACAUGGAGUCCUGCUCACACUUCAGUUCUUUUUGCCAAGAGGAGCCAUCCUUGUAAGGGCUCACCAGCUUCGUUCUGGCCCACUCAGGGUAAUUUCCCUGUCUCACGUCGACUAAUGUGGUCGGCAAAUACCUGCAGACUAGCUUUUGCUACACAGUGUGCCAUGAUCCCAGGAGUGAUGUCUCAUAUUGAUGGGUUCCGCCCAAACACAGCAGUGAGGGUCACUGGAGUUAUCUUAGCGUUCUGCCAGCGGCAGCUCAACACGAUCAGGUCUUAAUUCUGGCACCAAAGUGUUUACCCGUGGAUCUGUGUCCCAUGGUUCCCCUGACAAGUUACCUCAAACUUGGUGGCUUAAAAACGACAGAAAUGUAUUCUCACAGGUCUGGAGGCCAGCAGUGUGAAAUGCAGGUAUCACCAGGACCACACUCCUUCUGACAGCUGUAGGGGAGAAUGCUUCCUUCUUUUCCCAGCUUUUGGUGGCUCCUGGUGUUCCUUGGCUUGUGGCUGCACCACUCCCUUCUCUGCCUCUGUCUUCACAUGACCUUCCCCUGUUGGUGUAUGUCUGCAUGUCCAAAUCUCCCUCUCCUUUUUCUUAUAAAGACAUACGUCAUUGAAUUUAGGGCCCAUCCUAAAUCCAGGACAAUUUCAUCUUGACAUCCUUAACUGAUUUUAUCUGCAAAAUCUGUAUUUCCAAAUAAAGUCACUUUCUGAGAUUUCAGGUGGACAGUUAUUUGAGGGGAUAGUACUCAACCCACUAGAUUCAGGAUUGUGGGAAGAGUUGCUUACUAAACUCUGGUUCACAGAGCUGCCAAAGAAAAGAGAUUUCUUUUUAGACCUAGGAGAGAAGGCAGGUUUGGCUGUGUGGAGGCUGGGGCCCAUCCUCAGGCCAUCUGCUCCCCUCAUGGUGACACAGAUCUGAAAACCAGGUGGGUAGAAGGCUGGGCUAGAGGCCCUGUGUCCUUAAGAUCCAGACACUUUGCAGUAUAGUCAGCUCACAGUCUCUGUCUCCGUGGAUUCAACCACUGAUGGAAAGUAUUUGAGAAAAGAAACAAAACUGGCCAGGCGUGGUGGCUUACUCCUGUGAUCCCAGCACUUUGGGAGGCUGAGGCGGGCAGAUCACAAGGUCAAGAGAUCGAGACCAUCCUGCCCAACAUGGUGAAACCCCAUCUCUACUGAACAUACAAAAAUUAGCUGGGCGUGGUGGCGUGCGCCUGUAAUCCCAGCUGCUCAGGAGGCUGAGGCAGGAGAAUCGCUUGAACCUGGGAGGUAGAGGUUGCAGUGAGCCAAGGUUGUGCCACUGCACUCCAGCCUGAUGACAGAGCGAGACUCCAUCUC